UCCCUCCUGCUUCUUCCAUUGGUAAAUCACAUCAGUAGUGUGAUAGCCUAAUUUAGUUUAUGUUUCCUUUAUACAUUUGUCUUACAGGACUGAAAACGUUUUAUGAUACCAGUGAAGGCCUGGUAGUUCUGAAACUUAAAGUGUGAAAAAGCAACAAAUUCCACAUUAUUGAUAUGAGAAGUCAAUAUUUCACAGUACAUGGUCUUGCCACACGACUGCCAUUGGUAAACAAACAAACACAGCAGCAAGGAUAGUGUAGCUGCAGCAGAGUUUAACUUCUCAACUAGCAUCAUGGAAGAUGCAUGAAAGACAGAAUGGACUAAACAGAACAGGAAGGGGCACAUGGGAUGGAGAGACACUGAAGAGGUCACAGGAAGUGUGACGAAAAAUUUCCAGACAAAGGAAUAAAAUAGAA